CCUACGGGAGGCAGCAGUGGGGAAUAUUGGACAAUGGGGGGAACCCUGAUCCAGCCAUGCCGCGUGUGUGAAGAAGGCCCUCGGGUUGUAAAGCACUUUCAGUGAGGAAGAACGCCUGGUGGUUAAUACCCAUCAGGAAAGACAUCACUCACAGAAGAAGCACCGGCUAACUCCGUGCCAGCAGCCGCGGUAAUACGGAGGGUGCGAGCGUUAAUCGGAAUUACUGGGCGUAAAGCGCGCGUAGGUGGCUUGAUAAGCCGGUUGUGAAAGCCCCGGGCUCAACCUGGGAACGGCAUCCGGAACUGUCAAGCUAGAGUGCAGGAGAGGAAGGUAGAAUUCCCGGUGUAGCGGUGAAAUGCGUAGAGAUCGGGAGGAAUACCAGUGGCGAAGGUGGCCUUCUGGACUGACACUGACACUGAGGUGCGAAAGCGUGGGUAGCAAACAGGAUUAGAUACCCCGGUAGUC
rnacentral:rRNA from 1 species